AGAGUUUGAUCAUGGCUCAGGAUGAACGCUGGCGGUAUGCUUAACACAUGCAAGUCGAACGGACUCUUCGGAGUUAGUGGCGGACGGGUGAGUAACGCGUGAGAAUCUGGCUUCAGGUUCGGGACAACAGUUGGAAACGGCUGCUAAUACCGGAUGUGCCUUAUGGUGAAAGAUUUAUCACCUGAAGAUGAGCUCGCGUCUGAUUAGCUAGUAGGUGUGGUAAGAGCGCACCUAGGCGACGAUCAGUAGCUGGUCUGAGAGGAUGAUCAGCCACACUGGGACUGAGACACGGCCCAGACUCCUACGGGAGGCAGCAGUGGGGAAUUUUCCGCAAUGGGCGAAAGCCUGACGGAGCAAUACCGCGUGAGGGAGGAAGGCUCUUGGGUUGUAAACCUCUUUUCUCAGGGAAGAAUGAUGACGGUACCUGAGGAAUAAGCAUCGGCUAACUCCGUGCCAGCAGCCGCGGUAAUACGGAGGAUGCAAGCGUUAUCCGGAAUGAUUGGGCGUAAAGCGUCCGCAGGUGGCAAUGUAAGUCUGCUGUCAAAGCGUCUGGCUCAACCAGAUAAAGGCAGUGGAAACUACAUAGCUAGAGUAAGGUAGGGGUAGAGGGAAUUCCUGGUGUAGCGGUGAAAUGCGUAGAGAUCAGGAAGAACACCGGUGGCGAAAGCGCUCUGCUGGACCUUAACUGACACUGAGGGACGAAAGCUAGGGGAGCGAAUGGGAUUAGAUACCCCCGUAGUCC
rnacentral:rRNA from 1 species